rnacentral:rRNA from 1 species
UACGUAGGGUGCGAGCGUUGUCCGGAAUUAUUGGGCGUAAAGAGCUCGUAGGCGGUGUGUCGCGUCGGUCGUGAAAACUUGGGGCUUAACCCUGAGCUUGCGGUCGAUACGGGCAUCACUGGAGUUCGGCAGGGGAGACUGGAAUUCCUGGUGUAGCGGUGAAAUGCGCAGAUAUCAGGAGGAACACCGGUGGCGAAGGCGGGUCUCUGGGCCGAUACUGACGCUGAGGAGCGAAAGCAUGGGGAGCGAACAGG